rnacentral:tRNA from 1 species
CACUUGGUGACUCUGACGGUUCUCCAACAAAGGCAAUACUCAUAAUCUGGAGGUCGCGGGUUCGAAACCCGCCCCCGGCA